GGAUAUUGACUUAUGUUGGGCCUUGUUGUAUGAUUUGGGGGCUAGCCACUUUAUUGUGUUGUCGGCUUACCUUGAUUUAUUUACUUACUGGCCCAUUGCCACAUUGAGACACUGGGUAUUUGUGACUUGUGAUAUAUCAUGACUAUGUUAUUGUUGUGCUAUACUUGAUUAAGACUAGUGAUGAGAAUUGUGAUUCCAUUAUGGUUAUUGUGUGGCCUUAUUAUUGAUAUUACUUGUGUGCCUAUGUGGUACUAUUUGGGAUUGAAUUGGUUAUUGAUAUUACAUUGUAUCGUAUUCAUACUCAUUUCCAUGAUACAUUGAUAUUGCAUGGUUAUGGUACUCAUGAUGAUAAGUAAGAGAGUGUAGCCUCCGAGGUCUUUGCCAGAGAGCAUGAAAGGGAGAUGAGAGUUCGUGAUCCAAGGUCAUUUACCGGAGCGGAAUGAGUGUUGAUAAGAGAUCUUGUUGUUAUCAUCUGUAUACUUGAAUCAUACAUUGAACACUCAUCCUUUAUAUGUAUAUAUAUGACACAUUUGACCGGGGGUGACGAUGUGGCCUAUGUUGUUUUUAAAAAUACUUGGGAGGUGUUAUACUAAUUGCGCGACCAUUCUAUGUUGUGUGACAUGGGAUGGUCAGCAGGAAUGAAGGUUGGAAAGCUCGUCUCUAGGCUGUGUGUUACGGAGCGACAUAGUACAUGGACUUCAAGGAUCCCCCAUGGGUCAUGACUGUCGAGACAUGAUGUUCCGCUCGAGGCAUGUGUGUACACGAUUACCAGGAUAGAUCGACCUCUACUCCUCGUGGUUGAUAUUCGAGGAUUGCUUAUUCGAGUAUUCAGGGUGAGCAUGAGGACGUUCAUUGUCCGGAGAAUCUUCCUUCUAUUAUGUCUUUAUUUCCAUCCUGAGACAUGAUUUUGAGACUAUUUAGGUAUUACUUUUAUUUAGACUUAUAGUAUUUAGUUAGAUGCUCUUGUAUGACUAGACUAGAUACUGGGUGUAUUUCCUUUACUUCCGCAUUUUCUUAAAUUAUUAUCGCAAGAGUUACGUUAUUAUA